UACGUAGGUGACAAGCGUUGUCCGGAUUUACUGGGCGUAAAGAGCGCGCAGGCGGUCGAUCAAGUCGAGUGUGAAAGCCCCCCGGCUCAACUGGGGAGGGUCAUUCGAUACUGAUCGACUCGAAGGCAGGAGAGGGUAGUGGAAUUCCCGGUGUAGUGGUGAAAUGCGUAGAUAUCGGGAGGAACACCAGUGGCGAAGGCGACUACCUGGCCUGUUCUUGACGCUGAGGCGCGAAAGCUAGGGGAGCAACGGGG
rnacentral:rRNA from 1 species